UUGCUUGCUUCCAAAUAGGUUCCUUUUAAUAUAUAUAAAUGAAAAAAGAGGCCAUGAAUUUGAUGAGUGGAAGAAGUAGGAUAGGAGAAAUAGAAGUGACAUAAUUAUGUUUUGAUCUAAAAAUAAAAAUAAGUAAAGUAAUAGAUCAUUAUUACAAGAAAAAUCCUGAUGGGAUAAAAGUUCAAUACCAUAAAACAAAUGUAUUCUGUGUCUUUUUAAAAAUUAUAGGAACAUUUAUGCUAUUGGUCAUUUUUAGUCCAAAUAUGUAUGUAUGUACAUAGUGUCUUUUAUAGUUAGGAUAUAUAUCCAAAAUAUAAUUGGGCCAAUCCAUAUAAUGUUAUUUGAAUGUAUGUUUCCAGGGCUAACUAAUUGGUACUAGAUAACCAAAUGGUGUUGUUUUUCCCCAGAGUCUCAGAAUUCCUUAAUUGCCUAUAACUCUUUGUGCAGGGUUGGGGCCUUGUGGUCCUUUCAUCAUUCAAUAAUUAUGUCUAUUGUUGUUUUUAUUUGACUCAUGUUUAGGGAAUCCUGUUGGUGAGACUUAUUGGUGUAGCUUGUGAUAUCACUUAGAAACACAAUUUUACAGCAAAAGUCCCUGAUUGUCUGGUUUUGACAAUCUUUUCUGUCUCCACCUCCAGUGUUUCCUGAGUGGGAGUUGUUUUAUAGAUGUAUCCACUGGAACUGUGCCCCACAACUCUGAAUUUUGGUUAAUUAUAGCUUUUUGUAAUGGUUCCCAUCUGUUGCAUUGAGAAGUUUCUUUGAUAGGGUUGAGGAUUAUACGUAUCUAUGGGGAGAAGGACAAAUAUUUAGAAUGUAGUUAUGGAUUGUGAUGGUUGGUAAGGUGAUUGUUGUAGGUUUUCCUCCAAGACCCAUGCUUUCACUAACUCUGGGUAGUUGGCUAGGUUUCCAUAUCACCCACGAUGAGUGGGUCUGCCCAAGAAUUAAGGCAAACAACAAUUGACAAGUGGGACUUCAUAAAAUAUAAUAGCUUUCCUAUAGCUGAAGAAAUAUUUAACUGUGUGAAAAAGGAAGCCCACAAAAUGGGAGAGACUCUUUCCCAUCUACAAAAUCAGACCUCUGAGAUUAAUAACCAGAGUAUAUAAUGAUCUCAAAAAAGCAAAGAAUCACAAAAGAUGGACCUGGGACUUGAACAGAAUGUUCUCAAAAGACAAAAGAGGAAUGACUAAGAAACCUCUCAAAAAAUGCUCACUAACCAGAGUAAUUAGGGAAAUCAAAAAUGACUUUGAGAUUUUAUUUUACUCCAUUCAGAAUGGCAAAGAUCAACAAAACAGUAGACAAAUGUUAGAGGGAAUAUUAGGAAAAGGGAACGCUCAUUCCCUUGAGAGAAUGCAAUUGGAAUUGGUGGAAUUGGAAGAAGAUCAUAUUGAGUGAGGCAAUGUAGACCCAGAAAGACAAAUGUCACAUGUUCUCUCUAUUUGGAGGUUAGCUACCUUUAUUGUACCUUCCAGAGUAACCUUCACAGAGAUGUACUGCUCACCAUGGUCUGGACACUCCCAUUUCAAUCAUUAAAUAAUAAAGUAUCCCACAGGUUUGCCUACAGGCCACUCUGAUGGGAACAUUUUCUUAAUUAAAGUUUCCUCUUUUCAGAAGACUUUACCCUGAGUCAGGCUGACAAACAUCUAACACAACCUGGAAGAAGAAAGAAGCAGGUAUAUGUGGGAAGGAAGAUGAGAGGCAAUGAAAACAGAAAAAAGAUCCUGGCUUUUGUGCAUAAGAACUGGAGCAAAAGAACAUUUGUCAAGAAGGCCAAGGGGAGGCUGAAAAGAAUCAGGAGGAAGAGGAGGAGGAGGAGCAGGGGAAAAGGAGGAAGAGGAGGAGGAGAAGGAGGAGAAGGAAAAGGAGAAGGAGAAGGAGAAGAAAAGAAGAAGAAGAAGAAGAAGAAGAAGAAGAAGAAGAAGAAGAAGAAGAAGAAGAAGAAGAAGAAGAAGAAGAAGAAGAAGAAGAAGAAGGAGAGGAGGGGGAGCAGGAGGAGGGGGAGCAGGAGGAGGAGGAGAACAACAACAACAACAGCAACAACAACUACUCAAGAUUGAGCUCUGUUGUAUGUAGUUUUACACUCUAGCUGCCUUUAGCUCCAGGAAGUGACUAUGCUACCAACCCCUACCCGGCUUCCCUUGAAUCCUUGGAUAAAAGACAGACACACAGUUGUACAAUUUUAGCUUGACUUUGGACACUAUUUCUGGGUGCUGCUAUCCCCCACCUAGAAAAGCAUGUCCUUACCAAUUUUCUAUCUACAUCUCUCCACCUGCCUAAACUUCAGCUGCUAAACUCCCCUGACCAUCUUCCUGGAAGAGCAGCCUAUAUGGCCACUCUGUUUCAAGAUCUCACUUUGUUGCCUGGUUCUCUUCUCUCCAAAAUAUGGCAAACUUUGUCCUCCCUUGCAUCUCUCUGUCCCCUCCAGGGACCCAGAAGUCCUGCUUGUCCCUUCUACCCAGCAAUUGUCCCAUGGCUUUCUUUACUGACAGAUCAAGAACCAAUUGGGGAAUGGGACCUUAGCAUCAGAACAACUUCCUACAAAGCUAAGUGAUUUGCUGCCCAAUAAGUAGAUAGACAUUAACCAUACUCACAUAGAAAAUUACUACCCAAGUGACUGAAAUCUACUCAACUCUGUGGUAAUUUAAAUAUGAAUCAUCUAAAACAGGCUCAGGUGUUUAAACACUCAUUUGCCAGUUGGUGGUGCUGUUUGGAGACUUGUAGGAUGCACAAUCUUGCUGGAAGAAGUACAUCACUGUCUGUAGGCUUUGAGAUGAUAUACCCUUACAGUACUUCAAAUUCAUUCUCUCUUCUUUGUGUUAAUGAUUGAGAUGUGGCCUCUCAGUCAUAAAUCUCAUUUCUUCCAUUUCUUCCCUUUUGUCCUUGCUGGGAUGGGCUCUAAUCCCUCAGGAACCGUAAGCCAAAAUAAACGACUUUUUCCAUA
rnacentral:lncRNA from 1 species